rnacentral:misc_RNA from 1 species
AAGGAUCAUUAUCGUGGGGCUUCGGCCCUCUCGAGAUAGAACCCUUGCCUUUUUGAGUACCUUCGUUUCCUCGGCAGGCUCGCCUGCCAAUGGGGACCCCAAUAAACCCUUUGUAAUACCUGUAACAGUCUGAACAAACAAACAAAAAUUAAAACUUUCAACAACGGAUCUCUUGGUUCUG